rnacentral:pre_miRNA from 1 species
AGGAGGAACAGCCCCAGUGGCGGGGCAGCUCUGGAAACCUGGAUUCAGCUCCGGCCGGAACUCCAGAGCUCUCCGUGUGCAGGGCCUGGAGGCUCCGGGGCGGG